CAGUCGCCACGGUAAUACGUAGGGUGCAAGCGUUAAUCGGAAUUACUGGGCGUAAAGCGUGCGCAGGCGGUUAGAUAAGCCAGAUGUGAAAUCCCCGAGCUCAACUUGGGAACUGCGUUUGGAACUGUUUAACUAGAGUGCGUCAGAGGGGGGUGGAAUUCCGCGUGUAGCAGUGAAAUGCGUAGAGAUGCGGAGGAACACCGAUGGCGAAGGCAGCCCCCUGGGAUGACACUGACGCUCAUGCACGAAAGCGUGGGGAGCAAACAGGAUUAGAUACCCCCGUAGUCCCUGUCUCUUAUAC
rnacentral:rRNA from 1 species